UUAGUAAACAAUACACAGUAAGUGCCACAAUUUUUCAUUGUGAAGAGGAUGAAAAUAUAUUUCUGUAUGUCAUAAAAGCUUGGCUAAAUGGAGGCAUAAUGUGCAGCAGCCUGAACUGUUGUAACAUAACAAUGGCUGAGAAGGCGACCAGAAUUAAAGCUCCACAGGCUGAUAGCCUGUAUUUUAAGCUGAUAUGAGAAUUCCUACCACAAGCUAGCCAGUUCCGCCACAAUAAGACUAAGGAAUACUUACUGUUUCAAAGUGUGAAACAGCGCCUGUCGUCCGGGUGUACGCUUCUGCCAUCUUAGCUCUGCUCGUGACACGGGGUACAACAAGAUCCAUGCUCUGCCCAUGAACGAUGAAUAAAGUGCUGCAGC